rnacentral:lncRNA from 1 species
CCGCAUCCUCACCGCGCUCCUGCCUCCCCUCUCUUGCUCUCUCUCCGCGCGAGCUCGCCACCGACCGCCGUGGCCCCUGCAGGUCACCGCGCCGUCGACCUCCCUUCCUCGCGCCCCCGCCUCCCCUCUCUUUCUCUCUCCCCGCACGAGCUCUUCACCGGCCGCCGUAGCCCCUUCAGGUCGUCGCGCCGUCGACCUCCCUUCCUCGCGCCAUCCUCCUCCCCGCCUCAGAUCUGCGGCGGCAGGUUGCGGGUUUGGCGGCGGCGGCCCUGUGCGGACGUGGCCGCGGCAGGCUUCGAUUUGCUUCGUCUGCUUCGAUCUGGUACCUCCAAAAUCUGAGGUAUAAACUAUAAAGAACAGCUAAAAAAUGCCAGGACUGCUUCGUCUGCUUCGAUCUGGUACCUUCAAAUGUGGAUUUAGAUGCUGCUAGUACGAAGUCAGUUGCUUUUGAUGGCUGGUGUAUCACAUUGUAUACUGUUGCACUCUCAAAGGCACAGAUUGUACUCCGAGAUCAUGUUAAGCAAGCUGUUCCAUGAACCUGGGAACCGGCUGCUUUGGCAAGGUUAGAUGCUCAUUUUAGUUCAAACAUACCUUAGAGGCUAAAACCAUGUGGCUAAUGAAAUAAGAUAAGCCUCUGUAUUUUACUCCUUCAAUGAAGUCCAAAUAGUCUAGUUUCUACUACCAUUUCUCUGAACUGUUUUAUUUCUUAAUGAUACAAUCAUGGUUGAUGGAUGGAUAAGCCUCUGUGCUUCUAUUAAGUUUUGCGGGAACUGAAAUACCCUCCUUCCCCUUUGAAUAACUGAGACAUCCAAACAACCGUUUAUGGUUUUGGCAUUGUGGUAAACAUUACUCUAGUAGUAGUAGUUUGUACUUUACCUGUUUUAUUAGCCUUGACAAAUUCUUUUGGUUCUGAAAUCUGAAGUUUUACCUAUCACAUUUGUUUGUUAACUUCUAUUUAAACUAUUGGUGUUAUUCUAUGCAUAGUUCCUAGUUAUAUUAGAUGCAAAUGUCUUUAUAGAUAUAUCUUUCUAAAAAAUACAUGGCAUAUAUAGUUUGCUACUUUAUUUUGCACUGACAAAAGCAAGCUGGUUUAUGAGCAGCCUGCAUAGUUGUUUCUAUCCGUGAACAUCUUUCUGAGGUUAGGUAUAUUGUCCCCUGCUAUUUGUUGUUUACAAAUUAAUGAAAAUUGCUUUGACUUUUUUGUUGAGUAAGGGCACCAAGUUUUUGUCUUUCAUCUAUAAGGUCAUUUGUUGGCAAAUAUAUGAAUUUUGCAGAUUGCUAGUCAAAGUAUUUCUGCUAUGAGAGAAGCUAAAGUUUCAAAGAGAAGGCGAGCACCAGAAUUUGCUUCAAAUAGGUUCAUGCUAGUGUCUAGUGUUAUUUUAGUUUUGGAUAUUCAGUUUUUGUUUUGAAUCUUAUGUUUUUAGUGGAGCUGCAGGACUAAAACCAUUAUUAACUACAACUUGUUCUAAUUUUGCCAAAUUGAUGUGAUCAUGGAUUUUGCAGUAAAGCAAUGAACAAUGCAGUGGACAUGUUCAAGUAUUUCGGCGGCAAAUGAAGUGUCAUCCAGUAAGAUCUGUUCGGUCACAAGCUUCUAUACAAUAAUGUCUUGUAUAAUUUGGUUCUAUUGUACGGAGUACCAUUUAUUCUCCACUUGUAGGGACUAAGGCAGGAAUUUGUUGCAACUCAAGUGUUUGUUUUACUGAAUCGCUACCACAACGCUGAUAAAGUUUCUAGUCCAUGCAAGUUAUGAAGACUAAAUAGUAAGGCCAAGUUGUCAAAGCUUCUCAGUUGAUUUAUUUGUUUUCUGCUUUCAAGUUUAAAUAAAUCUAGGUUGUCCUGAUCUUUCGAUUUCCUGUACUGAGAAAUGCUCAUGUAUUGUACCGCUCUGAUGGCAUGAAAAAUACUAGCCUUGAGCUUAUGUAUUGUACUGGUUCGAUGUACAUGAAAAAUAUUAGCCAUGAGUAACAACAAUUAUUUUGUUUUGAUGUAAAUAUGGGCUGAAUAUGAAUGUGGGCUGUAUUCUGGACCAAAAGAGGC